UACGUAGGUGGCAAGCGUUGUCCGGAUUUACUGGGCGUAAAGAGCGCGCAGGCGGUCGUUCAAGUCGCGUGUGAAAGCCCCCGGCUCAACUGGGGAGGGUCACGCGAUACUGAUCGACUCGAAGGCAGGAGAGGGUAGUGGAAUUCCCGGUGUAGUGGUGAAAUGCGUAGAUAUGCGGAGGAACACCAGUGGCGAAGGCGACUACCUGGCCUGUUCUUGACGCUGAGGCGCGAAAGCCAGGGGAGCGAACGGGG
rnacentral:rRNA from 1 species